AUGAAAUCCAAAUGCAUCCAUGAUAGCUUCCUAUAUGUUCAAAAUGAUGUCCGUUCGCUGCACCGUCGCAAAACACCCGCCCUGCUCAUCAAACUAGACAUAGCCAAGGCUUUCGACAACGUCUCCUGGGAGUAUCUGCUCCAACUCCUAGAUAAGUUAGGGUUUAGUGCUAGAUGGAGGGACUGGAUUUCGACGCUUCUACUUAGCUCUUCUUCGGCUUUCGUCCUAAACGGCUGCUCUAGACGUGAUAUCGACCACCGUAGAGGGCUGGGGCAGGGAGACCCGCUCUCGCCCUUGCUUCUCAUCCUCGCCAUUGAUCCACUACAUCGUCUCCUAGAGAGAGCUGAGGAGCGGGGCUUGCUCACCCCUCGCCGGGUAGGAUAG
rnacentral:rRNA from 1 species